CCGUUUUAUCACGGCUCGUCUUAAAUGCUUGAGUGUACCCUGUUUUGCAGCGUAUCCAGUGUAAUAAACAUUUCACUAGAGUUGGUUGAGAGACCGCGUUUUGCCAUUCGGGCUCUAUGCUUCGAACCGUCCACUUGUGGACAAUUUCUUGACAAUUUGACCUCAAAUCGGGUGGGACUACCCGCUGAACUUAAGCAUAUCAAUAAGCGGAGGAAAAGAAACUAACAAGGAUUCCCCUAGUAACGGCGAGUGAAGAGGGAAAAGCUCAAAUUUUGAAUCUGGUGUCUUUGACUCCCGAGUUGUAAUCUAGAGAAGUGUUUUCCGUGUCGGACCGUGUACAAGUUCCCUGGAACGGGGCGUCAUAGAGGGUGAGAAUCCCGUAUAUGCCACGGACUACCGAUGCUCUGUGAUACACUCUCAACGAGUCGAGUUGUUUGGGAAUGCAGCUCAAAAUGGGUGGUAAAUUCCAUCUAAAGCUAAAUAUUGGCGAGAGACCGAUAGCGAACAAGUACCGUGAGGGAAAGAUGAAAAGCACUUUGGAAAGAGAGUGAAACAGUACGUGAAAUUGUUGAAAGGGAAGCGUUUGAAGUCAGUCGCAUCUGUUGGGGUUCAGCCUGGCUUUUGCCUGGUGUAUUUCCUUUCCGAUGGGUCAGCAUCAGUUUCGACCGAGGGAAAAAGACAUUUGGAAUGUGGCUGUCUUCGGGCAGUGUUAUAGCCUUGUGUUGUAUGUCUCGGUUGGGACUGAGGAUUGCAGCGCGCCAUAAAUGGCCGGGGGUCGCUCCUCUCGACACGCGCUUAGGAUGCUGGCAUAAUGGCUUUAAGCGACC
rnacentral:rRNA from 1 species